rnacentral:rRNA from 1 species
CUACGGGUCGCUGCAGUGGGGAAUAUUGGACAAUGGGGGAAACCCUGAUCCAGCAAUGCCGCGUGUGUGAAGAAGGCCUGCGGGUUGUAAAGCACUUUCGGUUGGGAGGACUGCUUCUAGCACUAAUAUUGUUGGAAGUUGACGUUACCUUCAGAAGAAGCACCGGCUAACUCCGUGCCAGCAGCCGCGGUAAUACGGAGGGUGCAAGCGGUAAUCGGAAUUACUGGGCGUAAAGCGCGCGUAGGCGGCUAGAUCAGUCGGGUGUGAAAGCCCCGGGCUUAACCUGGGAACUGCAUCCGAUACUGUCUAGCUUGAGUACAGGAGAGGAGAGUGGAAUUCCACAUGUAGCGGUGAAAUGCGUAGAUAUGUGGAGGAACACCAAUGGCGAAGGCAGCUCUCUGGCCUGAUACUGACGCUGAGGUGCGAAAGCGUGGGGAUCAAACAGGAUUAGAUACCCUCGUAGUC